ACAUCAGUGAACACAAGUUUCGCUGCCGAUGAACUUCAGGCCAUUUCAUGCAGUCCUGAGAUCGCUUUAGUCGCCGAAAAGUUGAGCGCAAUUGAGAACGAAGAUGGAUCCAGGACGAGUGCAGAAGCCCUAGAGGAGGCAAAAAAGAAAGCGUGCCUUGAAGCUGCCAAAAAACAAGCCAAACGAGAAGCCAAAGCUCAGAAAGCCAAAGCUAUUCAAGAAGAACUAAUGCAAAGGUCCCAGCCUAAAAGAACUGACAAGGAUUUAAUUGACGAACAAGUUAGGAGAAUAGAGGAGGAACGGAAGCUCGAAAGAGAGCGGAUAGCCGAAGAGAACAGAAAGAAAGAGGAAAGUGAUAGGGCUAGCAUUGCCAAAGCACUGGACCAAAUUGAAAACCAACGGUUGAAAGAUCAAGAAUUGAUAGCUAAAGAAUUAGCCAGACGAGCCGAGGAACGGAGAAUACAAGAGCAGAGAGUUAUGGAGGUAAUAGAACGUGAGAGGCAGGAAGAUGAAAAAAGAGCCAAAGAAGAAGCCAUUAGGUUGGCCGAACAACGACGAAGAGACGCAGAAGUAAUUGCUAGAGAAAUGAAGAGAUUAGAGGAAGAAAGAAGAGCAAUGGAAGCCAUGGCUCUAGAACGUGAUAGGAUAGCACGGGAAGAUGAGGAAUACCAAAGUCAGAGUGUAGGCCUAGAUGAUCGGCAUUUGCAGGAGGUACCCGUUGCUAAAGAAAUAAUUGUAACUCAAACUAAGAGGAAUGUGGUUGCAGCACAGGCUGAUGGUUCAGGUGAGAGUCAAGUAAGAAACGGUUUAAACGAAGCAGAUGCUCGGAAGAUAGCGGAACAAAUCCAAAUUGCAGGUGCUAUUCAGCAGAGAAAGUUACUGGAUAAGAGCAUGGAAGAAAAGGCUCUAGAAAUGGAUCGGAAAAACAGAGAAUUGAUUAAAAAGCAAUUAGGGGAGCAAAAAUCUUUGAUCGAUAACGAAAAGAAAUUUAAACAGCAAACAGCUGAUAGUAAGAGAAUUGCAGAUGAAAUAGCAAUCGCAAACGCCAGGAAAGAGAAAGAACUAUUGAAUAAGAGUAUGGAGGAACAAGCUUUGGAAUUUGAUCGUAGGAAUAAGUUACUCCUGAGGCAAAAUCAAGAGUCAUCUCAAUAUCUUGAGGGAAAAGAAAAAUCUUCUCAACAAAAAGCAGCUGACGAUGAACGAAUCGCUGAUGAAAUGAAGAUAGCUGAAGCACGCAGGCAAAAGGAACUGCUGAACCGAAGCAUGGAAGAACAAGCUAUUGAAAAUGACCGGAAAAGACGGGAAAUCUUUCGGAAACGAGAAACUGUCGAAGACGAUAUCGAGAAAGCUAAAGCUGAUGAGAAGAUUAUUGCUGAAGCUAAGAAAGAGAGAGAAAUUUUGAAUAAGAGCAUGGAAGAACAGGCUUUGGAAAAUGAUCGAAAGAGAAGAGAAACGUCAAAUAAAACCUCUCAAGGUUCUGCACCUAGAUCAAAUGGAGUCGAACCUGUUUCGGAUAGUAAGAGAAUUCAGGAUGCCCUCCUAAUUGCUGAAGCUAAAAAGCAGAAAGACUUGUUAAAUCAGAGCAUGGAAGAACAAGCUCUCGAAGCUGAUCGGAAGAAUCGCGAUGCGCUGAAAAAGAAGCAGUUAGGCGAGAAUCAGAUGAUUGAAGAAGAAAAACGUCGCAAGCAGAAAGAAGCUGAUGACAAAAGAAUUGCCGAUGAAAUCAAAAUUGCUGAGGCAAGAAAAGAAAAAGAACUCUUGAAUAAGAGCAUGGAGGAACAAGCUCUUGAAUUUGAUCGCCGAAAUAGAGAUAUUCUCAAACAGAAACAAGACACGGAGACGGUUCUGAUUGAAAGAGAAAAAUCCACAAAACAGAAAGAUGGUGACGACCAACGUAUCGCUGAUGAAAUAAAGAUAACUGAAGCACGCAGGCAGAAGGAACUGCUAAACCGAAGCAUGGAAGAACAAGCUAUUGAAAAUGACAGGAAGAGAAGGGAAAUCUCUCAGAAACAAGAAGUUGCCAAGGAUGAUGUUGAAAAAGCUAGAGCUGAUCAGAGGAUUAUUGCUGAGGCUAAGAGAGAGAAAGAACUCCUGAAUAAGAGCAUGGAAGAAAAGGCUUUGGAAAAUGAUCGUAUGAGAAGCGAAACCUCAAAGAAAACCCCACUAGACUCUCCGCCUACACCAGGUGGAGUUGAACCUGAUUCGGACAGUAAGAAAAUUCAAGAUGCUCUGCUGAUUACUGAAGCCAAAAAACAGAAAGACUUGUUAAAUCAGAGCAUGGAAGAACAAGUGCUCGAAGCUGAUCGUAAGAAUCGCGAAGCGAUGAAAAAGAAACUGAUUGGCGAGAAUCAGUUGAUUGAAGAAGAAAAGCAACGCAAACAGAAAGCAGCUGAUGACAAAAGAAUUGCCGAUGAAAUUAAAAUUGCUGAGGCAAAAAAAGAGAAAGAACUCAUGAAUAGGAGCAUGGAAGAGCAAGCUCUUGAAUUUGAUCGUCGAAAUAAAGAUAUUCUCAAACAGAAACAGGACUUGGAGCAGGAUCUAAUUAAACAAGAAAAGUGGGCUCAACAGAAGUGUGAUGAUGACCAACGUAUCGCCGAUGAAAUGAAGAUAGCUGAAGCACGCAGGCAUAAGGAACUGCUAAAUCAAAGCAUGGAAGAACAAGCUAUUGAAAAUGACAGAAAAAAGACAGCAAAUGUUAAAGCACCUGAGAUAGCAAGUGAUGGGUUCAAUAAAGCACGGAAUCUUGAAAAAGUAACAGAUGAGUCUAAAAGACAGAGAGACCAUUUGAAACAGAGUGUGGAAGAACAGACCGAGAAAAAUGAUCAAGAAGGUAAAGAAACUCCCAGUAAAAUACCGCUAGACUCGGUUCCUAGAUCGGAUAAAGUUGAUUCUGCUUCUGAUGCUGAUAAAAUUUUAUCUGAAUUAAGAAUUGCCGAAGCAAAUAAACAGAAAGUUUUGUCGAAUCAAAGUUUGGAAGAACAAGUGCUCAAAGUUGACCGUUUGCAACGGGAAGCUCUGGAAAGGAAGCGGGAAGAAGAGAAGAAGGCCAUUGAAGAGGAAAAGAAACGCAAUCAGGUCGAAUCUGAUAAUAGGAAAAUAAUGGAGGAAUUGCAGAAAGCUGAAGCAGAGAAGGAACGCAAACAGGCGAACCAGAGUCUUGAAGAAAAAAUUCUCCAAAUUGAUCGAAUGAAUAGAGAUCUUCUCCAGAAGAAACAAGCAGCUGAGAAAGACGCUGCUGUAGAAAGAAGUGUGCAUGAACUGAAAGAAGACGAAAACCCUUUUUAUGCUGCUGAUGUUGAAUCGCCUGAAAUUACCCAGCAACGAGAAUGUCUCGAUCAAAGUAAGGAAGAACAUGUUUUAGGAAUGGAAGAGAUAGUCAAGGAAAGUGCUUCAAAACUAGGACAGGAAUUAGAACCACCUGAAAUAGAAGAUUUAAAACAGACUCGCCAGUCGGAAGUUCUCGAAGAAACCACUGUUGGAAUGUCCGAAGCGAACAUUCGUUCCGUGGGAAGUGAGGAAAAACCAGCAAUUGGGGAGGAAGAAAUAGAAUUCACAGAUGAAACGGAGUCAAAGCGCAAUGCUUCUCUUCUGCCUGUAACAAGUGAAGAAGUUCCUAAUUAUGUUGGCCCAAUAGGUCCUCCCUUCAUGUUGAACGAUGAAGCAGAUUCAGGAGAAACUCAACACGAGUUGGAACCCUGCUUUACUGGAGAAAAGGAUGAAGCUGCUUCGGUUGUAGAAUCAGAAAUACAAACUUCCUCGGCUAUCAACAAGACAGAAAAUACUCCAGUAUCCAUCCCAAAUUCGAAACAUCUGGCUUCUGAUGACGCAGAAGCUGGCCAAGCAACCGAGAAAGUGCCUAACUCUAAUCUCGCAAUGGUAGACACAAGAAAUGAUAACCGGAAAAUAGAAGAUGAGCUUAAGCAAACAGAAACUAGAAAACAAAAAGAACUUUUGAACUAUAUGUUAGAAGAACAAGCCCUUGAAAUAGAUAGAAAGAAUCGAGAAAUUUUAAAAGAUGAGGAGGAGAAUACACAACGACUUGCUAACGCUGAACGAGAGCGUGCCCAGACGGAAGCUGACAAAUUAAAAAUACGUGAAGAAAUGAAAAUCGCUUCAGAGAAAAAAGAAAGAGAACUCUUGAAUAAGAGCAUGGAAGAGCAAGCUCUAGAAUUUGAUCGUAGGAAUAAAGAUAUUCUGAAGCAGAAAGAGGACUUAGAGAAGGUUCUGAUUGAAAAAGAAAAAUUGGCGAAACAGAAGCGUGAUGAUGACCAACGAAUAGCUGACGAAAUGAAGAUAGCUGAAGCACACAGGCAGAAGGAAUUGCUAAACAAAAGCAUGGAGGAACAAGCUAUUGAAAAUGACAGGAAAAGCAAGGCGAUCACUCGAAAAGAAGAAAUUGUAAAGGAUGAUAUCGAGAAAGCUAAAGCUGAUGAGAAGAUUAUUGCUGAGGCUAAGAAAGAGAGAGAACUUUUAAAUAAAAGCAUGGAAGAAAAGGCUCUAGAAAAUGACCGAAAGAGAACAGAAACGUCAAAGAAAACCUCCCAUGAUUCUGCGUCUGGAUCAGAUGGAUUGGAACCUGUUUCAGACAGUAAGAGAAUUCAGGAUGCCCUCCUGAUUGCUGAAGCUAAAAAACAGAAAGACUUGUUAAAUCAGAGCAUGGAAGAACAAGUGCUGGAAGCUGAUCGGAAGAAUCGCGAAGCGCUUAAAAAGAAGCAGCUAGGCGAGAAUCAGAUGAUUGACGAAGAAAAACGUUGCAAGCAGAAAGAAGCUGAUGACAAAAGAAUUGCCGAUGAAAUUAGAAUUGCUGAGGCAAAGAAAGAAAAAGAACUCCUGAAUAAGAGCAUGGAGGAACAAGCUCUUGAAUUUGAUCGUCGAAAUAGAGGUAUUCUCAAACAGAAACAGGACUUGGAGAAGGUUCUGAUUGAACAAGAAAUGGCGAAUAAACAGAAAGAUGGUGAUGACCAACGUAUCGCUGAUGAAAUGAAGAUAACUGAAGCACGUAAGCAGAAGGAAUUGCUUAACAAAAGCAUGGAGGAGCAAGCCAUUGAGAAUGACCGGAGAAAACGCGGACAUGGAUUGAAUAGGUCCGAUCAACCGAAUUCAAAUGAAAAGUACAAGCAAGAACCGUCAAUCAAGAAUGGAUUAGAUGUGAAUGUAGAGUCUCAAACCAGAGUAAAAAUUAUCGAAGAAAUGAAAAAACCUAAAAAUUUAGGUGAACGUUUACUUGGGGAAGCUAAUGAAGGAACGGGAACCAUUACAGAAACUAUUGAUACAAGUUCGACUACACAUGGAAGUAAAUCUUCUGAAAUAUUUGAUCGGUCGGUGGAAAUGAGGAGCAGCGACGACGAAAAAAUUAAUUUAGAACUCAUGAAAAUCGAAGAAAUGAAAAGAGUUGCUGACGAGAAAAGAGCUCUCGAGGAAGAAGCCAUUAAAGCUUCUAAACUCGCUCAAGAGGCCGAAAAAGAGAUGAUCGAAAAAGCUCGUGUUGAAGAAGCCAAUCGGAAAGCGGAACAGCAGAGACGUAUCGACGAAGCUAUCAUACGCGAAGCUGCUGCUAAAGCUGACCAAGAAAAGAAACUUGCUGAUGAAAAGAGAAUCCUGACUGAGAAAGUUCUUGAAGAAGACAGGAAAAGAAAACAGAAAGAAUCUGAAGAAGCUGAACGUGAGAAGAAUCUCGUUGCCAGCAAGAAGGAGGAAACUGUUGCGCUUCAAAAAGCUUUGGAAGAUCGCGAUGAUAAAAUAGCUGCUGCAGUAGAAGAGAUGAUUAUUGCUCAGGAAUUUGCUGACUUUGAAAGUGCUUUGGAUGAAAGAACGGAAGGACAAGCUGUCAAACAAAGCCAGAAGAAGGUAUCUUUCCAGCCCGAUGUUCACGAAAUCCAGGAGGCCUUCGAACCGGAAAUUAUCGUGAAAAAGGUGUCUAAGACCGGUAAGAGCGUCACUGAGCCUGCCCAGAACGUCGGAGAUGACAUGGAAAUUAUUGCCAAAGAAUUAAGAACUUCAGAAGAUGAUAAAAAGUGUAAGGCUGAAAGUAAAGAAAUUGAGGAACUGGCUGUCGCUGCAGGCAAUAAACAGAAAGAUGAGGCGAAUCGUAUUACAGAAGAGGAAAUUGAGAGGGACAAUGAAAGGCAAGCUGUGGAAAGAAGACAGCGAGAUAAUAUGCUUGUUAUGGAAGAAAUGCAGAAAGCUGAGGAGAAGAAGAUAGAACUGGAAAAUAGAAAGGCCCUCGAAGAAAGAGUUUUAGCGGAAGAUCGCAAAUUACAGGAAAAGAAGAAACGAGAGCAGGCUGAACGCAAACAACUUGAAGAUGAAAGAAAGGCACUUGAAAAGGCAAAGGCUGAUGAACUUUUAAUUAAUGAAGAGCUUCGUAAAGCGGCUGAAAGGAAAAAGGAAUCAGAUGAAAAGGCUGCGUUGUUGGAAAAAGUAAUGGCUGAAGAACAGAAGCAGAAAGAACUAGCAAAGCAAAAGAAGAAAGAAGAGCCACCCAAGCCCAAACCUCGUCGUCCGAAAUCACCUGAAGGUGCAUCGCCUGAAGAGGAUAUGGAGCUAUUCGAGCAGUUCCUGGUGAGCUUCAUGGUGGAUGCCCGUGGGGGAGCCAUGCGGGGGUGCAGGCACUCAGGGGUGCGGGUGAUCAUCCCCCCCCGCAAGGCCGCCUCCCCCAUGAGGAUCACGUGUCGCUACCUCAAGAAGGACAAGCUGGUGCACGCGCCUCCCCUCAUGGAGGGGGAGGCCCUGGCCUCCAGGAUACUCGAGAUGGGGCCUCAAGGGGCCAAGUUCUUGGGCCCCGUGAUCCUGGAGGUGCCACACUUCGCGUCGCUGCGCGGCAAGGAGCGCGAGAUCGUCAUCCUGCGCUCCGACAACGGCGAGACCUGGCGCGAGCACACGCUUGAGGCCACGGAGGACGCCGUCCAGGAGGUCCUCAAUGAGUCCUUCGACGGGGAAGAGCUGAAGCAGCUGGAUGACCUGAACACGAGCCGCAUCACCCGCAUCCUGACCACAGACUUCCCCCAGUACUUCGCUAUCGUCACCCGCAUACGUCAGGAGGUGCACGCCAUAGGCCCCGACGGGGGGAUGGUGUCGUCGACGGUGGUGCCCCAGGUGCAGGCGGUGUUCCCCCAGGGCGCCCUCACCAAGAAGAUCAAAGUCGGGCUCCAGGCGCAGCCCAUCUCGCCCGACCUGGCGGCCAAGUUACUGGGUAACCGCGUGGCCGUGUCACCCAUCGUUACCGUCGAGCCCAGGAGGAGAAAAUUCCAUAAGCCGAUUACCCUCACCCUGCCCGUGCCUCAGGCCGCCAACAAGGGGAUGAUCAACCAGUACUCCGGCGACGCUCCCACGCUGCGUCUGCUCUGCUCCAUCACCGGUGGAACAACCCGCGCCCAGUGGGAGGAUGUCACGGGAUCUACGCCGCUGACAUUCGUGAAUGACUGCGUGUCAUUCACGACCACCGUGUCAGCCAGGUUCUGGCUCAUGGACUGCACGAAUAUUCCUGAGGCCACACGAAUGGCCACCGAACUUUACCGGGAGGCCAUUCAUGUUCCCUUCAUGUCCAAGUUUGUUGUGUUCGCCAAAAGACAUCAGCAAGAAGAAGCGAGGCUGAGAGUCUUUUGCAUGACCGACGACAGAGAAGACAAGACGCUCGAGUGUCAAGAGAAUUUCGCUGAGGUGGCCAAGUCUCGCGACGUUGAGGUGCUAGAAGGCAAGACGCAGUACUUGGAGUUUGCAGGCAAUAUUGUGCCAGUGACCAAGUCUGGCGAUCAACUUUCCUUCAACUUCUACGCCUUUAGGGAGAACAGACUCCCCUUCACUGUCAGAGUCAAGGAUCAGCAUGCUGAACCUGUUGGCAGAGUCGCCUUUAUGAGACAGCCUAAGGUCGGCCACAACAAGCGUUAUGUUGAACUAGUUUCAAAUUUACUAAAAGCGCCUCCAUUACAGGUUGGGCGAGGUGAUGCUCCACAAAAUCCUAUUUGUAACCUCAACCUUGAAUUACCCGACACUAUUCUACCCGAGCCGGCCCCAUCCGAACCCGAUCUCCUUUCGCUCGAGAAGAAGUACACUUUUCUCUCUAUAAGUAAGGCGGACACCAUCCACAAGGCGGACUUACGUCUGUCUGACAUCUCGAACAUGCUGAGCGGGGACUGGGUGGCUCUGGCCCGGGGUCUUGAUGUCGGGGACUCUGACAUCAACAUCAUCAAGUCCCAGUACCCAGACAACGAUGCUCAGCAGGCGCUCGUUAUGCUCAGACUCUGGAUGCAGAGCGCAGGCAACAAGGCAACUGGCAACGCUCUGGAGCAAGCUCUGCGCCAGAUCAACAGAGUUGACAUAGUCAACAAAUGUAUCUUCAACGUCGAGCCUGUCACCGACGACAAGGAGCGAGCUGUUGCCAAGGCUCAGAUUGACUCUUCCGUCGUCGCCGACUCGCCCCAACUUGGCCGCCGAAAAGACGACCAUGAUCAUGAGGACGUGGUGCCGGGCAGCGCUGUCGACGACGAUCACAAGCAGACUACGUAUCAGGGGAAAGAACCAGCUUCCGACCUCUCGCCCACGUACGAAAGCGAAGAGAAAAAGUACGCGGCCGAAGAGAAAGUUUUCCCUGCCGAACCAAAAACCGUUCAGUCCGGCAUAUCACAAGACCUAGUGGACGAAUUCCUUAAAGAUACAGAGGGAGAGUUUGAUCAAAAGUUCCAUAAGAUCGUCCACGCUCCGGUUACCGAAAAAGUCCCAGAAGAAUACGCUGGUAAGGAAGUCGUUGAAGAAGAGUUCGUCAAAACUAUCGUGUCCAAAGUCAGAGAAGAACCAGAAGAUGAGACCGUUACCACCACGACGAUUGUUCGAGACGGAGAUGCCAUCACUAAAACUACUGUUACUAAAACCGUAGUUGAGUCUUCAGAUGAACCUUCUUCGUUUCUCAGAGAUUCUGAACAAGUCGUGACGAAGCGAACUUUCGAUGACGGAAGCCAGUCAAUCAUUACGACCAAGACCACAGAACGGAGGUCUUUCAUCGUAGACGACGACGACGCUUCGGCUGUCAAAGAAAAGAUUGUCCUGGAACAGCGAAAAGAUGCACAAAUAUUUGAUGAACAAAUGAAGAAGUUGAGUCCUUCCGAUCCUAGUGCCAAGUCCGACAUGCUCCAAAAACUUGGAGAGGAACUUGGCAAACUUGAUGACCGACUUGAAGAAACUUUCAAGGAGAAAAGAAAAGCUGCACAGCCCGAUGAAGAAGUCGUUGCGGCAGCUGAUCGACACUCAGUUCAGGAAGAUGACUUCAAAGUCUUGCCCCGAAAUCAAGGAGGUGCAGCAGCAACUUUUUAUCAGAUCGUCGACACUCCUCCUGCAUCGCGCAAACUAGCUGAUACCGCACAGUCUGGAGGUCUUGAAGACGUAUCAAUUUCGGAGGCUAGUCCAACAUCAACGAUUCCAUCUGAAGUCGCUGAUUUUGCGCCGAUAUCCAUGGAAAAAUCUGAAGUCGUACCGUUGCUUGUCGAAACUAGUGAAGUCGAACAACCUAUCACCGAAGUUGUUGCUGCUGAGACAGCUGAAGAUGAUCUCAAAGCCACUGAAACUGCACAACAGAUUACCGAAACUGAUGCUUCUGAAACUGCUGAAGAAGAUCUCAAAGCCACUGAAACUGCACAACCGAUUACUGAAGCUGAUGCUUCUGAAACGACUGGAGUGGAUCUCAAACCCACUGAAACUGCACAACCUAUUUCAAGUACAAUUGAAACGGAAUCAAAAAUUCCACUCGAAACAAAUACAACACUCGCCACAUCUGAGACCACCGAAGAAACUCCCGACGGAGGCUCUAUUCACACUGUAACCACUACCACUGUAACAUCAACUUCGACCAAUGUUCCCGCUACCGAAGAAAUGUUCGAAAACAUCCCAGACGAGUUCACUCAGACAUCUGAGAAGAUCGCUGACGUGCCUCGAGCUGACAUCGCCACAUCUCUGACUACUGCUGACACUGCUGUUCUGCCUCAUGAUUUGAUCUUCUUUCCUAAGUUUGGCGGCACUAAGUCUUACUUCUAUCGAGGCUUUCUUACUUCUGCAGAAACUGACCGUGCCGAGCACACCUCGCGCGACCAUGAGAAGGCUACAGAAAGCGCAGAAUGUCCCUCAGCGAGCGUAACCUUGCGUAAGUCCUGCGUGUCAAGGCGUAUAAGAGGAGUUCGACCAGUAACCUUCCCUCAUUGCCUCAUUGAUGUCGAAAAACGAUGUUUAAGCCCUGAAGCCGAUCUUUACUACGAAGAACAGGAAAAAGCUAUCAGAGACAUGGCACAGUAUGGAAUUGACUUACUCGAUGGCGAUCCGAUUGGUGGCGAAGAAUCUGAAGAUCGUCUCGUGGCGGUUGACGUUAUCGUUGACUCUAAAAUCGACUCAUUCGCUGCCGCGGAUGUAGAAUCACAUGAGUACUCUUCAGAUGUUGACGAUCUGCGCCCAAAUAAUCGACGAAAACUUGUGAGAAGCUCAUCAAGCUACGAAAACAUUUACGAUGAGAUGAAUCUUGAGGCUGCUGCAUCUGAAAAUCAUCCAACAAUAUCCACACUAGAGAAAACUUUGGGAGACGUCUCAACUAAGACUUUUUUACGGGCUGAAUUGUGUUCUAGUUUUGAAAAUAUAUACAUGGAAACGAAAGAAAAAACGUAUGUCUUACCCUCGUCGAUAGAAAAAUCUGAGCAGUAAUCACUUAUUUUCUCUAAACUAUUGGACCAAGAAUGUGUAUGAAGCCAUCUUUCUACCAUUAACUUGAAGACAUCGAAGGCGCACCUACGAGCGCCACGACCAGUAAGAAGAAAACAAAAAAGAAAGGCAAGAAAGAGAACAAGUA
rnacentral:misc_RNA from 1 species